rnacentral:misc_RNA from 1 species
UCCGGUUUGGCACCGGCAGUCCUCCCAGAGUCCUCGGCAUGACCCGGUAGCAACUGGGAGCGGGGGUUGCGCUCGUUGCGGGACUUAACCCAACACCUCACGGCACGAGCUGACGACGGCCAUGCAGCACCUGAGUCGGCCUCCCCUUGCGGGGCUCAUCCCCCUUUCAGGUUCUUACUACCGACUUGUCCAGCCUGGGUAAGGUUCUUCGCGUUGCGUCGAAUUGAACCACAUGCUCCACCGCUUGUGCGGGUCCCCGUCAAUUCCUUUGAGUUUUAGCCUUGCGGCCGUACUCCCCAGGCGGGACACUUAAUGCGUUAGCUUCGGCACGGAAGGAGUCGACACCUCCCACACCUAGUGUCCAUCGUUUACGGCGUGGACUAC